GGGGAUUUAGCUCAGUGGUAGAGCGUUUGCCUAGCAAGCACAAGGCCCUGGGUUUGGUCUCCAGCUCCA
rfam:Rattus norvegicus chromosome 5, whole genome shotgun sequence.